AUGCUGCUCCUCUCCCUCCCCAAAUCGGCAUGGAUCUCGCACUGCUGGAUCCCCUCCUCUCCCUCCCUGACUUGUCGUGAAUCUUGUGCUGCGAGAGCUGCUCCUAUCCCUUCCCUGGCCGCCAUGGAUCUGGCCAGGCACCAUUGGAGGAAGCCCAACAUUUAUGCUAGGCGGUGUAUACAGGCUGGUACAUUGCACCGGGUGAAGGGUGCAGAUCAUGUUCCUGAGAGCAUCCAAAACAUAUGGGAGGUGCUGCCCGGAGCUGUGGGAGGACCGCGUCGUGAGACCUCGGUGACUGCGGACAUGAUAUUAAGGAGAGGCACUCCAAGAGAUCAUGUGUAA
rnacentral:rRNA from 1 species